AUAACAAUAAGCAAAAAUGUUGGUUAAAAUAACGCCUUUGAAGUGUCCGCCUAGAAAGCGGCCUAAAUGUGGAUGAAAUCGUUGAACAGCUGAUCGAAUAUACAUUAUAGGUCAAGGUCACAACUCGAUCUUUAAUCUCCAAUCCUUCUGGAGAAAUCUGAAAUGCGCAGGAGGCUCCAGAAUGGCUCCUAAUUGUGAAAUCUUGAUUCGAAGGAAUCGAAAAAUCAACUUGGGCAGCUAAAAUUUUGGUUAUGAUGGUUUCAGACCCAGUUCUUUCAAAAAAUUGUGGUCCUGUUCGAAUUGUAGGGGGACAAACCGGACAUCUCGAGGUUUCCCUUCUUAGUAGAUUAGAUAGCGUAUAAGGUUUGAUGCUUGGAAUAAAAUAACAAACAUAAGUGCUGGAAUCAUCAGAGUGGCCAUUAGUUGGUAUUCUCUAUGGUUUAGUCAAUCAUAUGGGAAAUUACGACGAAUGUUUGUCUAUUUCAUCUUAUGGUAUUGAUGGACAGUACUGUUUAGUUGAAGCCAUGUAUAACUAUCCAGAUGCAUUACAUAGUGAAGUCGUCGAGAAUCCUGACGAGAAAAUUUCGUCGUGGGAAGUUGUAAGCAUGUACGGAAAAAAUCCAGUCAGAAUAAACAGAAAAAAGUUGAGGUUCGCCGUCUGCAUACCAUCAUCUUGUACUCCAACUGACUUGAAAAUUUCUCUCAAUCACACAUUGCAUCCAAUAUUCAACGCUCACGAGCUCAAUAUAACAAUUGACGUGGACCCUGUGCUUUGUAAAAUACGCGACAAACCUGCUCGCCCCUUGGGAUACUACAUCGUUCGGAAUUUGUUUGGUGCGAUUUUCUUCCUUGUAAUUUGCGGUACUUUGUAUGAUGUUGCAACUUUCACUGGAGUUGAAAUGAAAACAGAAGGUGGUAUCUAUAGGUAUUUCAUACAUGCGCGAUUUUAAGUAUAAUUUUUUUUGUUACCUAUG